AGCGAACGCUGGCGGCAGGCCUAACACAUGCAAGUCGAACGAACCUACCGGGGUUAGUGGCGGACGGGGGUGUCGCGCGUCGGAACGUGCCUUUAGGCACGGAAUACCUCAGUGAAACUGGUGAUAACACAGAAUGUGUCCUUCGGGGGCAAGAUUUAUCGGCCUUAGUUAAGCCCGCGUCUGAUUAGCUAGUUGGGUGUGGUAAUGGCUCACCAAGGCGACGAUCAGUAGCUGGUAUGGGAGGAUGAGCCGCCACAUUGGGACUGAGACACGGCGCAAACUCCUACGGGAGGCAGCAGUGGGUAAUCUUGCGCAAUCGGCGAAAGCCUGACGCACCCCGGCCGCGUGAACGAUGUAGUUCUUAGGAUUGUAAAAUUCUUUCACCGGGGACGAUAAUGACGGUACCCGGAGAAGAAGCCCCGGCUAACUUCGUG
rnacentral:rRNA from 1 species